rnacentral:rRNA from 1 species
UACGUAGGGUCCAAGCGUUGUUCGGAUUUACUGGGCGUAAAGGGCGCGUAGGCGGUGCGGUAAGUCACUUGUGAAAUCUCUGAGCUUAACUCAGAACGGCCAAGUGAUACUGCAGUACUAGAGUGCGGAAGGGGCAAUCGGAAUUCUUGGUGUAGCGGUGAAAUGCGUAGAUAUCAAGAGGAACACCUGAGGUGAAGACGGGUUGCUGGGCCGACACUGACGCUGAUGCGCGAAAGCCAGGGGAGCAAACGGG